GAUGAACGCUGGCGGCGUGCCUAAUACAUGCCAGUCGAGCGAACAGACGAGGAUCUUGCUCCUUUGACGUUAGCGGCGGACGGGUGAGUAACACGUAGGUAACCUACCUAUAAGACUGGGAUAACUUCGGGAAACCGGAGCUAAUACCGGAUAAUAUUUCGAACCGCAUGGUUCGAUAGUGAAAGAUGGCUUUGCUAUCACUUAUAGAUGGACCUGCGCCGUAUUAGCUAGUUGGUAAGGUAACGGCUUACCAAGGCAACGAUACGUAGCCGACCUGAGAGGGUGAUCGACCACACUGGAACUGGAACACGGUCCAGACUCCUACGGGAGGCAGCAGUAGGGAAUCUUCCGCAAUGGGCGAAAGCCUGACGGAGCAACGCCGCGUGAGUGAUGAAGGUCUUCGGAUCGUAAAACUCUGUUAUUAGGGAAGAACAAACGUGUAAGUAACUGUGCACGUCUUGACGGUACCUAAUCAGAAAGCCACGGCUAACUACGUG
rnacentral:rRNA from 1 species